rnacentral:rRNA from 1 species
UACGUAGGGGGCAAGCGUUGUCCGGAAUCAUUGGGCGUAAAGAGCGCGUAGGCGGCCCAGUAAGUCCGCUCUGAAAGUCAGGGGCUCAACCCCUGAAUGCGGGUGGAUACUGCUGGGCUAGAGUCCGGAAGAGGCGAGUGGAAUUCCUGGUGUAGCGGUGAAAUGCGCAGAUAUCGAGAGGAACACCGGUGGCGAAGGCGGCCUUCUGGACAGUGACUGACGCUGAGACGCGAAAGCGUGGGGAGCAAACAGG